rnacentral:rRNA from 1 species
GCAAAACGCGAAGAACCUUACCAGGUCUUGACAUCCCGCUGACCGCUCUAGAGAUAGAGUUUUCCCUUCGGGGACGAGCGGUGACAGGUGGUGCAUGGUUGUCGUCAGCUCGUGUCGUGAGAUGUUGGGUUAAGUCCCGCAACGAGCGCAACCCUUCGUAUCUUAGUUGUCCACGCAUUCAGUUGGGUCGACUCUAAGGUGACUGCCGGUGAUAAACCGGAGGAAGGUGGGAUGACGUCAAAUCAUCAUGCCCCUUAUGACCUGGGCUACACACGUGCUACAAUGGACGGUACAGGAGGGUCGCAACCCCGCGACGGGCGAGCAAAUCCCAAUAAACCGUUACUCAGUUCGGAGUUGUAGGCGUGCAACUCGCCUACAUGAAGCCGGAAUCGCUAGUAAUACGUGGAUCAGCAUGCCACGGUGAAUACGUUCCCGGGUCUUGUACACACCG